UAGUAUUUACUAAUCUUCUCGUUUGUUUUCAACUAGCCAUUUUUUUUUGUCACAACUACUAUCAACUAGCCAUUUAUAAAACAGUUUCACUUGAGAUUGAAGUUAAUGCACGUUAGUGAUAGAUCCACGGGGAUCCCACUUAGGUUUGGUAACGAGAAACACGAAUAAUUCAAUGGCUAUAGGUCUAAAAGCCUUUAUUAAGUGGGAAUUGUUUUUUUUACCAAAAAAAUGUGGGAAUUGUUUUAUUUUUGACUGAUGAAUAAACAAAUAAAUAAGAAAAGUAUUUAUUGACAGGUGACAGCAUUUGAUGCAAAUGUAACACAAGUCCACAAAUCCAUUAGAACAUAAUUACUGGGGAUCCUUGAUUUUGGGUCUUUUUUUUUUAACGUCUGAUUAAUUAUGCUAUUACAACGAUGAGAAAUAUUACAUAGACGAUUCUACAGCCGACAAUUCUACCAUCAUAUGAGAAUGCACGUCUGACUGCAUCGCUCCGAGCCACCCUAUGAGAUCUAUGUUCGAUGAUUAAUUAUGCUAUUACAACGAUGAGAAAUAUUACAUAGACGAUUCUACAGCCGACAAUUCUACCAUCAUAUGAGAAUGCACGUCUGACUGCAUCGCUCCGAGCCACCCUAUGAGAUCUAUGUUCGAUGAUACGCCCUUGCACCAUGCUGAAGACCUCUUGUAACCCUUUUUCUCCAUGAUCUGCAUAAUUUGCGUUUUCUGGGGUUUGAACCCCAGACCUCCUGGUGUAGAAGCAUUAAUGAACCCUUAGUCAAACCACUGGACUAAGGGGGCUUCCAC